AAAUAUCCAGUCCUGCAAGUCCAGUCAGUGGGUCUGUGGUCUCGGUGGGAGCGUCUCCUGUCUCCAGAGCUCUCUGUACAUUCUGCCAGAAGACCCCCGUGUACUGGCCGGCCUGAGGCCAGUUCAGACACAUGAACAAACUACAUGAAGAAUAGGUGCCCCCACCUGGCCAUCUGGAUCUCUCUGGAGCACCACUCGCUCUGCAGAACAUGUUAAAAAAUGAAUAUAUAAAACAUCUGGUCCAGAUUGAAGAGGAGCUGAAGAAAUAGUCCAGUUGACAGGAAAUGAAUUGGCCGCUAUUUUGACUACUGAAUAAUUGUUUUAGCAAUUUAAAUAAAAAUGCUGUUGAAAAAACUGUUGCAUUGUUUUGUGUCUUUGUUGCUGUUUUGUGUAUUUUUGUUGCUUUGCGUCUCUGAUAAUGGUCAUAAAGCAAACAAACAAAAUCAAUUGUAGCUGUGAAUAUUUCAUCUGUUAACUUGGUCUCUGAUGAAUUGUGAUAAUCUUUACUGUAAAACUGGGCUCCAUAAAUCAUUCAUUUAUUGUAAAUGAAUAAUGAACUAAUUGACUAAUAAAUAGAUAAUGAAAAUAAUCGUUAGUAGCAAACUGGAAUAAUCAGACUUGAAUCAGUUGAAUCAGUUUGAUGAAACAUGUAAUUCUAUAUUAUUAAGGAUUUAUACUACUACUACUAAUAAUAAUGAUGAUAAUAAAAUAAAUAGAUUCACUGAUUGUAACUGAUUCCCCUCCCACAGCUGAGAGUGAGAUGAGAUGAGACAGUGUGGAGGAUCAGAGGAGGAUCUUUGUCUCUAACUAAGUCACUGUUUCAUCGCUCGGCCCGAAGCUGUUUUCAUUUAUUGAUGAGUCUGCUGAUCAAUACAUCGUGUAGCAACAAAUGACAGCUACAACUGAGUGGAAGUGUUCACUCAUUCAUAAUAGAUGAUGCUCUGCAGGGACCUCAGCCCCACAGCUGCUGAUGAACCGAUCAAAUAUCUGUGAUCAAUGGAGCCUGCCCCCUCAGGUAUCACUGAAAAAAGCACAUUCAGGUUAAAGCUGAUUUACAUUAUCGACAGUUGUCCGUGGCCUCUUCAUUAAUAUAACAGACUCUCCUCAUCUCAUCUCCUCAUCCUGAAACACACAGGCAAGAAAUGAGCUGAAUUUAUGUAUAAAUUUGAUUUAAAAUGUAAUCAGAUCUUCAUAUAAGUUACAAUCUAUUUUAACUAAUAACACAAAUCAUUGUGUUGUUCUUGUUCAAACAGUGUAGCUGGAAACAGUCAGUGAACCCCUCGACUAUGACAGGAACAGAAGCUAACUCGAGUCAGGCGUUAUCAGACCUGAAGUCCAUUCAGUGAAACCUGAUUGGAGGUGUGGGUUACACUUUUAUAAAAAACACACAGACAUUUAGAGAAACAUCAGCUGAUAUGAACCAAAGAUUCAACAAAGAUCUCAAAAAACUGAGGAUGAAGAAGAGUUGAUGAGCAUGAAGCUGAGAGGGUCACAGAGUCAUCUCAAAGACUUUAGAUCUUCAUCAGUCCACUGUCAGACAAACUGACUAUGAAUGGAUAUGAUUCAGUUCUGUGGCUAAAACACUGUUGUGGACCAGGACCAGGGAUGUGCUGGAACCACUUUGCAGCUAUAAGAUGUGAGGAUCUGCUGCUAACAUGUUUCCAGAAACCACAGGGACCUUCAGAAGAAGAGUAAAUGUAUUGAUACUCAGUUUCUGUCUCUGUGGUCAUGGUGACAAACUACAACUUAUGGAGGUGUUUGAAGUUUUUACGGAUUUAACAACAAAUUUAACACAGUGCUUCUUCCUGAGCAUCUAACGGCCCCACCUCGUCACUCUCUGUAAGAUAAAACCUUCUGUCAGGGUUAAAAACCAAAGCUCCCAUGAGGCAGUGAACAAACAGAACUGAGGGUGGAGGGUGGGACUAAGAGUUUCCAGCGCCGCACUGACCUGUGUAACUUCAGCCAACGACUGGAGCUGCUCAGACUGUGAGGCUAGAGAUGUUUUGUGUCUUUGUGGUGGUUCCAUUUAAUUUUCCUAACAUGUUGCUGUGAAUUAAAAGAUUGAACAUUUUUUUGUCAUAAAAAGAAGAUCUCAGUUAUUUACACUGUUUUAUAAAAAUAGAAUUAAAAAUGAAGUGGCGAACACACCAGCUGCUCAUUAAACCCACAGCUGAUGUUUCUUUAUUUGUUCUUAAUUCUCACAAAUUGUUUUUACUACAAUAAUAACAUUGUUUCUGCUCAUUAUGUCACCACCUGUUUUUGUAUGUAUUUACCUUCAACAACCUUUCACCUUAUUUUACAGUAUGUUGUGUGUUUGUGUGUGUGUCACUGCCAAUGGGAGAUGUUAGCACCCUCACUACUAUUUCCAGAUCUGGUUGCCAUGGGAACAGCUGGAUUGGCAUGAAAGACACUGGGUUGUGGUGAUUGUGUGUCUGUUUGUGUGAACUCGCUAGCAAGAGUCCACAGCUAAACAGACACACACGCACACCUUGUCCACGGUUUUCUGUGUGUUAAUGACACAAAAGUAAAGAACAACUUUACAGUUGACGUCUUCAAGGGUUCACUUGGCUCUGAGGAACUGUUACAUUCGGUAACAGGAACCAAGACCCAACCCAGGACCCCAGUCGGAGCAGGACCUGAGCCAGACCAGGACCUGAGUUGGACCAAGAAAUCUGAUUGUGUUGGAUCUCAGUUGGAUCUGAUUGGACUUGAAUAGUAUCAGGUGUUUGGAGGUGAGAGGGAGAAUAGCAGCAGGGAAUUAUUGAUCAUCAGCUGCUGCCGGUGUUUGUGUUUUGGAGUCUAAUUACCCUCAGAUCCAUUCGGGUUGAGUCUGGCUCCGCCCUGGUGCUCCUUGGAACGGGUCUUAACUAAUUUAUGCAUGUUGGGUUUGGGUAGGUUUCCCACACGUCUAUUUUGGAUUGAAGCAAAAUUCUGGAUGUGUGUAGACGUAAAACUUUACAACAAAUGAGCAGAGUCUAAACUGAAACAAUGAGGGCACAGGCCUUCUUCCUCUUCAAGAGCAGAACCACAGGAUGGAGGACUCGUCAUAGAUCUGGAGUGAACCUGUAGCUGAGGCAUAUGUCCACUUUGACAGGUCAGUAAUCCAGUCUUGGGUUCAGGGCUCUGGAUUCAAGGACACAAACUGCCUGUGACCUUUUUUUUUUUUUUAUUUAGUAAAAGCAUGUUGUGUUUUGUCACUCUGCCCGUCGACCAUCUGUCCACCUUCAUGUAUGAUGACUCACACACGCAUGCAGAUUAUGGAAAUACAGGCUAAUAUUAGAUUUCCAUAUGACUGUCCACAGAGUGAGGAGACAGCGUGGAGCGGCUUAACACAUCAACGUCUUCACAUCUUCCUCGUCUUACUCCUCCUUCUGCUGUUUGAAUUUCACACAGGUUUGACACUGGUUUAAAAAUCAAACUCAAAUGAACUCAAAUGAGAUUUGGAAAUUUAGUAAAACACGUGUGUGGCAACCUUAUAAAUUACAGGCUGUGAAUUCACUAAAAUGAAAUAGCCAUCAGUAAAGGAAAAAAAAAAAGUAGCUGACGAGAGCUAAAACAAGAAUCUCUAAAUUAACACUUAAAUUAAAAUAUAUAACCAAUAAACAGUGUAUUUUAUAAUUAUAAUAUAAAAAUGUAAUAUAUUCUGAAUCUAAAAAAAAAGUUGUUAAUCUAUAGAUAAUCGUAGGUUGGUCCAAAACUUUUUUCCAGACCUUUUCAUCUAGCACCAUCAUCAGGUCACAUUUGAAUUUGUCAUGUAUCUUCAGAACUAAAGACAUUCCCAUCAGCCUCAGCAGAACACUGUGUUUAGAGCUACUUAGGUAAUGUUAGCAUGCUAACACGCUAAACUGAGGUAGUGAACAUGGUAAACAUUGUGAUAGUGAGCAUGUUAGCAUGCUGAAUGACUGUCUUGUUAGCGACUGAGAGGCAGCUGUCAACAAAGAGAAAAUGAGAAGGAAAAAAGAAAGAUCCUGGACUAGACUGAAGGCCCUUUCAUCUCCGUUGGAACAAACAAACAAACAAACCAGACAAAAAAAGAAAAUAAACAAACAACAACAAGCAAAUGAACUGCAAGAGAAGAAAACUAAACAAAACAGCAAAAUAGGACAAACAGACAAACAAAAAAAGAACACACACACACACACACACACACACACACACACACACACACACACACACACACACACACACAAAUUCAGUUUUGGUCCAACAGGAAGUUUUAUUUCUUUACAAAACAAGAGCGUGGACUCAUAAAGGAGCUCAACAGAAGGCAGGAAGAUAAAUCUACAUGACAACUUUCAACCACUUAGAAAAUAUAGAGGAGCUCUGUUCACACACUGAUACAUACAAUCUGCACGUCAUUUAUACUGUAAAAAAGAAAAACAGAGAACCAGAAAAUCUGCACGUCACCUACACUGUAAAAAAAAAAAAAGAGCAAGAAAAACAGCUGGUUGUGUUGUUUGAAACAAGCCAGCAAUUUUGUAAAGCCAGUGAGUGGACGAUAUAAACCACUGAAUUAAUGACAUGUGAUUUCAAACUUCAAUUUCCAUGUUUUGGAUUUCUAAAUACUUAGAUUCAACAAUUAAAUAUUUUACUUUGAAAAUCAUGUAGCCUACACUAAAAUCACCAAUGCAAAUAAUCAAACUUUAUAGAUUUCUGCUUGUUUUAAAGGUGACCUUUUGCAAUAAAAAAAAAAAUUGCUAUUCAAAAAAAAAAAGAAAAAAAAAGAGAGGGACAAAGUUACACACUAUUUUAUUAAUAAAACAGAAAAACUAAGCUGGACCUGACCAUUUCUUUCCUGAUUCUCAUUGACAAUAAAGUGUAAGUUUGAAAUCUGAUUUUUAUUUUAAUGUUCAUUUUCAAAAUUAAUAAUACAUAAUAUUUUUAAUACAUUUUUGUGACUUCAAGUUCAAAAGUUAAAAGAAUCUAAAAAUGCAGAGAGAAAUUCAACAUGAUUUUCAAAUUAAAAGAUUUCAGUUUUAUGAUUUCAGUGGUUAAAUUUGACUUUGAUUUGCUGUUUCAUACGACCAGUUGUUUUCCUGUUUCGUUUGUUUUUGAGUGCAGAGCAGAGCCGAAAAAUAAAAUCAAAGAAAGAAAAAAAGCUCACGUGUCCAUGAAGCGCGUACUUAAAUUCUUUAUCAAAACUAAAAACUUUGCAUUGAUAAAAUACAACGUUAAAGGUAUAAUACAGUGUCAUGACUUAGAAAACAUCACAGAUUCUGUUUUCCUGUCGUCACCAGAUAAUGAAACACUGCAGAGAGAAGGACACGUGAUUCGUACGAAACCCUGAAAACGCUGCACUGAAAUUUACAGGAGUGAUCGUUUGUUUCUGUGACACAACUUUUUCAAAGCCACAACACUGAAAAGACCAAAACAGUUUGUCAUUUAUUUGUUAAAAAAAUCAAUUUAAAACGAGAGACUUCACAGUUUCAGGAGAGACGCACAUCCAACAGCAAGCACUUAAAGGGAAAGUCCACCCAAAAAUCCUUCCACAUAUGAUGCAGUUAGAACUCUUAGUUACAUAACUCUCUAGUUAUGGAAUGACAAAAGCUUCUUUAUUCUUUAUUGUCUCUUUGUUGCCGUUCCUUUGACUCUUUGUGGUCAUUUUACUUCACUUUGUAGUUGUGUUGUGUUUCCUAAGCGUCUCUUUGAGGUCAGUUUAUGUCUCUAGUCUUUUUUUUUGUCUCUCUGGUCAUUUUGUUGAUUUUUUGUCCAUCUGUUGUUCUUCUUCCUCAUUCUGUCACUGUUUUACAACACUUAAUGGUUGUAAUUGUGUCUAACACUAAAUGGUCGUAUUUGGUUUCUGUGAUCAUUUUACAACACUUUGGAGAUGUUUUGUGUCUCCUUGUAGUUGCUUUCUGUCUCUUUAGAAUCUUUUCAGGUCAUUAUAUGUCUCUAGUCAUUUUUCACCUCUUUGUUGUUCUUCUACAUCACUUUAUAGUUAUUUUUUGUGUCUUUGCAGUCGUUUGCUUGACAUUCCAGCACAAAACAUUAACAGUCACUUCAAACAGCAAAUCUGGACCAGGGGUCAUCUGACCCUUUGGGCUCCUGGUCAUUGAUCCAUGACUCAGGUGGAUUUUCCCUUCAAGUACAGCGAGGGAGGAAAAACAAACAGUUUGGGUAAACCAGCAGUUCGAGGGCAAAGUUCAGCUCAGAAGCAGCGGCAGCCCCCGAAAUUUAACAAGAACAAACACAGAGAAACACUCACAGAAAGAAGAAAACCAGUCCCGACUCCCUUAAAGGGUAAAAAACAGCAGCGAUGCAGCUGCUGGAGAUUCUAAUCCUAUGUAAACAGGCUUAGUGUAAGGCAAGGAGGAAGAGGAGGAGGAGGAAGGAGUUAGAGACAGAGGCUCAAGUGAACUUUAAGACGAGACAGACUAGGAGGGAUGACGGUGUGGGAGGAAGACAGGAUGAUGAAGAGGAUGAGUAAGCGGUGGGCGGCGGACAGGCGAGGAGGAGGAGGAGGAAGAGCAAGAUGCAGAUGGCUGAAAGGCAGACAGCAGAAUUAAAGGGAUCAGGCUCAGACACAAACUUCUCCUGAACACUUGACUCAGAAAGCAGCCGACAGUGAACGCCUCGCUCAACAACAAGCUGCUCCAUCUUUACCAAUGUCUUUAAACCAGCUGUCGACUGUGAGUCCGUCAGUUUGUUUUCUUAAACAUAAUAAACUGCAAAUGUAAUGUCUCUGCAUUAAAAAGGCUGUGAUCAAAAAAAGUACAGAGGGUCACAAAGAACAUGAUAUUCUUCAAUUUUCUUUCUUCUGAGCAACAAGAAACCUGUUUUACAAUGUUAAAAUAAGAAUUGUUAUUGACAUCACAAAACAUAUUUAAUAAAAAUGAGAAAAGUUUGUAAGAAAAAUCUUUCUUUCUGGGAUAAAUAUUUCAAAAAGUAGUUUAAAAUGUUCCUCAGUUCUCCCAAAUAUCAAUAAUUGAAUUUGUGAUAUUUUAACAAUUACAUUUUUGUUUUUCACACUUUAUUUAAUAUCAAACACACACCCUUAAUUCAGUCAGUUAUAUCAAUAAUUGUAUUCUUAACAUUAAAAUGCGUGAAUGAAGACUUGUCAUUGCAAUUUACUUAAAACUUAUUCCUAGAUCUUGAAAUAAAUGAUCAUAAGAAAAAAUCUAGAAUUUUUUAGAAUGUAUAGGCUACAUUUUUAAUUUAUCAUGAUAAAACAUCAUCAACAUCAGGUGUUUUUUAAACCUAUUCUAGAUGUCAGUUUUUAAUAUUAUAAUUCAUUUCUUAACAUGUAAUUGGACUAAUUAACAAACUAUUUAUUUUUGGACGAAAAUGAAUCUAAAAAAAAAAAUACCCUGGAACACCCAGUGUGUAUUUUUUUUUUAGAUUCAUUUUCGUCCAAAAAUGAGAAGUGUUCUAGGGUAUUUAAGUCCUCCCUGCUAAAUAACCUCUCUGCAGGUACACCACAUUUUGGUUUGGUUAUAGUGCCUUAGUUUAAUCCUCACUCAUGCCCACCACACACUGGUAAUGUUUCUGAUUUCUACACCGCAUACUCGGAGGAUUUAAUUUGAUAUCUUAAUGUGGUUCAAUAAAAUGAUGAGACUUUGGAAAAGGAUGGAAAUCUGAUAAACAUAAUACACUUCUUGUAAUCAUUGGACUAAGACUAACAAACUGCUGAGCUGGAUCAAUGCUCCACCUGUUCUAACAUCUCUUUGUUUUCUUUGUGUGAUUCUUACAAAAUAGAAGCCUCCAUCACAUAACGCGGCUCUGAUCUAGCCUCAUGUUUCUUCUUCUCUGGUCGUUGGGUGUGUGGUCAGAUUUGUCUCACUCUCCUCCCAUGUGUGCUCAUGAUUACUCAGGCACAGCUGUGUUUUUUUCCUCUUGAGUUUGGCUGGAUAAAUGAAGCUUCUUUCCUCUUUAGAUGUUUCUGCUGGAUGUGGCUCGGCCUUCUGUGUUUAACCACAGAGGCUUAAUUGAUGUCUUGCUUUCUCUUUUCUUUUUGCCUCUUGCUGGUCUCAUGUUUAUCUUGAUGGAUUUAGCUGAAUUUUCUUGAUUCUGUCUCUCAAUGAUUUAAAAAGAAAAAGAGACAGAAAGGAGGAGAAGAGGGAGACUUAGCCGACAUUUUUUUUCCCUUCACUUUCUGGUGAGUGAACGGUGCUCGUCUCUCUCCAUCUUGUUUCCAUCUGUCCCUGUGCACUCUUAAAACAGUUGAUAAUUAAAGUCAUCACUGUCGUCCUGGGGAAACAGGCUCCAUUAACAAACAGCAGAGUCAUUUAGAUGUGUCUCUAAUGGAGCUGUUAAAGCUCAGACUAAAUGAUCUCCACCUGUUGAUGAAGAGCAAUUUGUACUGGCUAAGCCCUCUAAUAUUUAUAGCUAAGAUGCCUAAAUUUAAAUGCCUCACUGAUGUGUUAGCUGUAGUCAUGUCUAUCCAUGCAGAUAGUGGUUUUAUUUGUCCAGGCUUUAAAAUAUCUGCCUCUACUCUAAUGUAGGGGGAUGAAUGGAAUUUAGUUUUAAAGAAGCGGCAUAUUAAAUUUUAAACACGUCUUACCAGAAACACUGAGGUUCCCACAGGAAUCACUAAUUCGAACACAUUUGUUCUUCGGUGCACAAAUGAGUGAUUUAAAACAGCUUCAGUUAUGUCUUGAUCACAACACAAACUUAAUUCAUUAGACGUUCAGGCAGAACAAGUCAUGUACAAAAUGUCUGCCUUUCUCAAAACAGAUGAAAACCACUUUGCUUCAGUAAAACAUCAACUUCAUCAACUUCAAGUGAUAUGAACAUAUUACUCCAAUACUUACAAAUUUACACUGGCUGCCUGUUACAUACAUUACAUUCUACUCAUCACCUUCAAAGCAUUAAAUGGCCUCACUCCAAAUUUUAUCAUUAUUAAACCAAUAUGUGCCUAGGCGUCUACUUGGAUCGGAGGGAGCUCUGCUGGUUAUUCCAGGGUCUCGGCUGCUGACUAAAGGUGACCUUUGCUGUCAGAGCCCCCAAACUGUGGAACAGUCUACCCACUGAGAUCAGACUGGCUACGUCUUUAGUGUCUUUUAAAACUAUUCUAAAAACAUUCUUUUAUCAGAAAGCUUUUAUGAAUGUUUGAUAUGUUGUUGUGUUUUAUUUAGUUGCGUUUUAUUUUUCCAUGAUACAGACAUCUAUAUCUAUCAUGUUUGUUUUUCUCAUGGUUGUAAUCGCUGUUUUAAAUUCCCCUUUUUCUUUCUGUAAAGCACUUUGUCAGUUUGUUAAGAAAAGUUCAAAAUAAAUAAAGUUUAUUAUUAUUAUUA